AAUCAACGCUGGCGGCGUGCCUCAGACAUGCAAGUCGAACGCGAAAGGCCCCUUCGGGGGCCCGGUAGAGUGGCGCACGGGUGAGUAACACGUAGGUAAUUUGCCUUCGGGUGGGGAAGUAACAGCCGGAAACGGCUGCUAAUACCGCAUAAUGCAGCGGCUCGACAUCGAGACAGUUGUUAAAGCGGGGGAUCGCAAGACCUCGCGCCUGAAGAGAAGCCUGCGGCAGAUAGUCUUGUUGGUGAGGUAAUGGCUCACCAAGGCGACGAUCUGUAACCGGCCUGAGAGGGCGGUCGGUCACACUGACACUGACAUACGGGUCAGACUCCUACGGGAGGCAGCAGUCGGGAA
rnacentral:rRNA from 1 species